rnacentral:lncRNA from 1 species
AGUACUGCCCAGACACUUGGGAAUUUAAAGAAACAGGUUUCCUCUUUCAAUCAAGCCUUUGAUCUCUCUAUGUCAUGCUUUAUUUUAGAGUUUAAUACAGUUCUGUGGCUAUCCAGAAACACUUCCCCCUUGCUGAUCCAUCUUUCUGAGUGAGAAUCGCACAGAGAGGUUGAUGGGAUUAUUUGAAAUCUCCUUGGCUUCAGGCUAAAUAAAACACUUUAAUAUGGAAGGCAUAAUUCUGAUAUCUUAGGCAAAGGCAUGUUUUCUUAGAUUAAAAAAACAAAACAAAACAAAAACGGAGGUUGACCCUCUAACUGGUUUCCUAAGUGGCCCCUCUGCUUGCCCCCUUCCAAAUCUCUGACUUCUGGGACAAGAAAAGAUAUCAUCUUGGUAAACCGAAGCAAACUUGUUUUUAAGAUUAAUUGCCAUCAUCCAAUCUGGUUUGUUUAAACAAAGUGAAUAGUUUUAAAGGGGACUGAAGAUGUGACAUUUACCUCUCUCUUGAGAUACUAGAUGUCACAAGUUCAGCAAAUGGCUCUUACAAAGAUAGUUUAUAGUAAAAAGUAAAUUUUUCUGAAAGAAAACACUUUUAUUAAGAUAAUAGUUCAUUUGGCCAACUUUCAAAUGACACACAGUGCUUGCCUGGUACUGGGUUCAAAUCCCAGCAUCAGAAGAAAUGAAUAAAGAUCAGACUUGUAUGAGAAACAUGUAGGCUUUCUCUCUCUCUCUCUCUCUCUCUUUCUUUCUUUCAGCUUAUUUAUUUAUGUGAAUACACUGUAGCUGUCUUCAGACACACCAGAAGAGAGCAUCAGAUCUCAUUACAGGUAGUUGUGAGCCACCAUGUGGUUGCUGGGAAUUGAACUCAGGACCUCUGGAAGGGCAGUCAUUGUUCUUCACCACUGAGCCAUCUCUCCAGCUCCCACAGGGCUGCUUUCAGUCAGCCUACAUUUCUUCCGUGGAUGGGUGCGUCAAAGAGUAUCACUCUGCUUUGAACACUGUAUUCUUUUUAGUUUACACCCUUGAUGUGAGGAGGGGAGCUUUAAUCGGAGGGGAAAUAUCCUUUUCUUGAUGCUAAAACGUGUCCUGUUUGGUAAAGCAUGUGUUCUCCUAAGGGAAAAACUCCAAAUCAGAGACUCUGUGCAGAAGUUUACAUGCCUGUGUCAAAACAAAGGGUUGUGCUGAAUUCACAUCCUCAGGCUGGGUACAGCCCACAGCAGUGUGGAGAUGGCUUCCUGAUGCUUUCGUCCCUCCGACCUCCUGAGCCACAGAGCCACCAUGCCUUCCACCCCCAUUCUCCUUCUGUUUUUUUAAGGCCCUCAUUUUGGGUAGUUACUGAAGCUUUAAGACAGGGUCGGAAAAAGAAAUUCUCAUUUAAAAUUUUCUAAAAGAGGAUAAGAUGAGAAUAUUUCCUAAGAGUAUUAGUCGGUUUAAAAGGACAAAUUGGAAAGUCAUUUUUUACUGAUGUCUAGCACUGUUCAAGUAUGGACACCUAGAGGAGAGGUUCAGAUAUGUCUUACCCUUCCAGGGCUUUCUAAACAGCAGAAAGCUGCGGUUAACUGAGCAGAAUCUUUCUUAUUUAGUAGAUGUUAAAGAGAAAGUGCUAAUCCUUUUGAAGUGCAAUUUUUUUCACUUAAACAUAUUAUUAGCUGGAGAAAUUCGGACAUGUGAAUAAAAAAAAACCUCUAUUGCUUUGCUCAUGAUCUAUGAUUUCCACUAACAUAUGAACUUUAGUUAUCAUAUGAUUUUAUGUUUUCAGUUUCAGAUAUCCAGAGGUGUCUCACUAGAACAAUCAGUGAAGAUAAUAUAACGAAUGUCUCUGUGCCCAUUACUCCGAUGAACGACUAGCUAGGCUACUACACUGACAGAAUCCUGGCGACUCAGUGCUCUGGGUUUUGAUGGUGUUUACACACAGUGUGUAUAUGUGUAAACAUGGGCAGGCAUGUCGCUAAGGCAGUUCAACCUGUGUUCACAUAACAAAGGACUGAAGCUGCAAGAACAUUGGAAAGUAACAGAUUUGAAUACAAUAGAAAAGAGUUCAUUCGUACUAUAAACUGCCAGGCUUGGAUAUUAAUUUAAAGUUUAGACCUUAAUUUUUGUGUCACCUCACAAAGAUAACAGCCCCCUGAGACUACACUGGCUUCUCCCUUCCUUGUCUUAGAUGAACCCAUUUCCCUUGUAUUGGGAUGGAGCUCCUAAGAUUGUGUGAGCGUACAGGGCUGCGGCAAGUAGCCCCCAAAGCACACAGCUCAUAAAUAUUUUCAGACAUUUAACUGAGUAAGUCACUAGCCUGUGUUUAGGAAGAGAGCUGGCGGCUGGUGGAAGAGUCGUGGAUGUAAGGUAAAUGAGCCAGGGCUCACUCGAGGGCCUGGUCCAGCUUUGGUUCUUUCGGCUAGCUGGAGCGAAAAAGCAAUCAAGACUGAAUCACUUCCUGGGAGUAAGGAAGGGUUCUCUAUAGAGAGUCUGGGGCUCCAAACUGAGCGGCUUUCCAAGGCAGCAUUGUUAGCAAGUGCCAGACAUCAGCAGGUCUGGAUCAAAGCUAGGGAUCGGUGUGGAGCCUGCUGACUCUGGAUGCUAGAGAUGGCAGUGCAGUGCUCUGAGAAGAGUGGUGGCUGACAGCCAGGGGACUUUCCCUUCCUGGUUACGGAGCGUACCAGAAUCAGGCUUCUGUAACUAUGGGACAAGAUGAACCUGGACCCUUUGAGUCCUCUAGACGGCCAUUUUGAAAAAUCCACAUUCUUCCUUGACACCAAUUUUGCCCUAAAAUACUGAAAAAUUCAACUCUGAAAGCAUGGACCAGCCUCAGCCCAAUACCACAGGAGGCCUUGGUUUUCACACCCCUUUGUGUAUUUCUGCUUCAUCCAGUUACAGCAUACAUCCCACCCAAAGACUGGCUUUUCUUUAUUCUUCUAGUGCCCACUAGCUACCCAAUCUGGAACUUUCACCUAAAUAUAGGAGGCAGGUGUAGGGAACAUAGCAGAGAAACCGAAGUCCUUCCUUUUCAGGCUUCUGGAGGUUAUUCUGAUAAUCUUAAAUUAUUUCAACUCCAAAGCUAUAAGAAUAAAAUGCAAGAGAUAAUUGUCUUUUUUCCCCCUUGGCCACAGCUAUAAAGAAGAAUGGACCAAAUUAGAAUAUAUUAUGGGCUCCAUCCAUUUCGACUUGUCUUGAGCGCGGGACUAUUUCCACAUCAUGCGCGAGCAGCAGAUGAUAUAUUCCUGGGGAAAAUUAAUAACUUGAAAACUUUCUUCUGCAAUAACAAAACUGCCAGAUCUUCUGUCAGAGCCACCAGUUUCAACGCAAAUGACAGUUAAGGACUUCUGAGUCUAAGUACUGCGGGUGGGACUUUAGUAGAAAGUGCAUCUGUACUCCAUGUAAGGCAAACUCUACAUGGUGAGUCUGACACCCAUGAAGAACCCACAGAUCAGGCUGUAACAAACUCAUUCUUCAUGGUGUCUCCUUCUUCACCUGUGGCCUUCUAAACUCUUGUGCUCCUGUCUGAAGAGGGAGGGUGGCUUUGCAGUCAUGAGUUUUAUUUCAGGUGUUAAUCUAGAAAUUUUAAUGAAUUUUGAUAUUUUUGCUUCUACACAGAGAGAUUGAGCUGUGUUGGAAGCUUUCCAUUUGCACAAUAGCCCCAAAUAAUGCGAAAUUAAAUGGAAAGCGUUGUGGGCCAAAUCCUGUUGGAUUAUUAUUUUUAACUUCCUCUUUUCUUUCUUUCAAACGGUGCUUUAAAAAUAACUAUUAAAAAAAAAAGUUACCCCUGAGUGCAUUUUCUUCUCACAGCUUCACAGAGAGCUCCCUCAGUGUGGAAUUCGUUGGGG